GCUUGUCUCAAAGAUUAAGCCAUGCAUGUCUAAGUAUAAACAAAUCUAUACGUGAAACUGCGAAUGGCUCAUUAUAUCAGUUAUAGUUUAUUUGAUGGUCCUUACUACUUGGAUAACCGUAGUAAUUCUAGAGCUAAUACAUGACUCAAAGACCGACUUACGAAGGUCUGUGUUUAUUAGAUGGAAACCAAUGCGGGGUAACCCGGAAUAUGGUGAUUCAUAAUAACUUUCGGAUCGAUUUAUCGAUGCAUCAUUCAAGUUUCUGCCCUAUCAGCUUUGGAUGGUAGGGUAUUGGCCUACCAUGGCUUUAACGGGUAACGGAGAAUUAGGGUUCGAUUCCGGAGAGGGAGCCUGAGAAAUGGCUACCACAUCCAAGGAAGGCAGCAGG
rnacentral:rRNA from 1 species